UACAGAGGGUGCGAGCGUUAAUCGGAAUUACUGGGCGUAAAGCGCACGUAGUCGGCUUUGCAAGUCGGUUGUGAAAUCCCCGGGCUCAACCUGGGAACUGCAUCCGAGACUGCAUUGCUAGAGUAUGGGAGAGGAAAGCGGAAUUUCUGGUGUAGCAGUGAAAUGCGCAGAUAUCGGGAGGAACACCCGUAGCGAAGGCGGCACUCUGGGCCGGUACUGACGCUGAGGAGCGAAAGCGUGGGGAGCAAACAGG
rnacentral:rRNA from 1 species